ACCUUGGGCAAAGUCAGCCUGAACAUGCCCAAUCUCAUCUGAUUCCGCAAACUAAGCAGAAUUGGGCCUGGUUAGUACUUGGAUGGGAGACCUCCUGGGAAUACUAGGUGCUGUAGGCU
rnacentral:rRNA from 1 species